UUUAACGGCCGCGGUACCCUAACCGUGCGAAGGUAGCAUAAUCACUUGUUCUUUAAAUAGGGACUAGUAUCAACGGCACCACGAGGGCUGUACUGUCUCCUUUCUCUAAUCAGUGAAACUGAUCUCCCCGUGAAGAAGCGGGGAUUAAACUAUAAGACGAGAAGACCCCAUGGAGCUUUAAGCAAUGUAUUCACCCCUGCACCUUUAUAUCAACCAAACAUAAGAGACCUGAAUACUAGCUUUAGGUUGGGGGGACCACGGAGUAUAAUAUAACCUCCAUGACAAACGGGCUACGCCCUUAUCCACGAGCUACAACUCUAGAAUCAAUAAACUGAUGUUUUAUGACCCGAUAAUUCGAUCAACGAACCAAGUUACCCUGGGGAUAACAGCGCAAUCUACUUCAAGAGCCCAUAUCGACAAGUAGGUUUACGACCUCGAUGUUGGAUCAGGGUAUCCCAGUGGUGCAGCCGCU
rnacentral:rRNA from 1 species